rnacentral:lncRNA from 1 species
AGUCUUUUGUGGUCCAAGAGGGAUGCAGUGUCCUUUGUUAAGGCAGCUUUUAUCCCAACCAGAUCCCGAAUAAAGUCAAAAGAACUCACCAUAAGGAGGGAGUUCAGCCUGAGAGAAGACUACUCACCAGAAGAGCUUGAUUAACAAUUUUACGGCAUUUUACCCCUUAAAAAACUCUUCCAUAUACGCAAUCACCUUUGAACUCCACAACACAUGGAUAUCCAGCUAUUUUGCCCCCUUCCACCAGCACCAAUAUCUUUUGCU